UACGGAGGGUGCAAGCGUUAUCCGGAUUCACUGGGCUUAAAGGGUGCGUAGGUGGGCAGGUAAGUCAGUGGUGAAAUCUCCGGGCUUAACCCGGAAACUGCCAUUGAUACUAUUUGUCUUGAAUACCGUGGAGGUCAGCGGAAUAUGUCAUGUAGCGGUGAAAUGCUUAGAUAUGACAUAGAACACCAAUUGCGAAGGCAGCUGGCUACACGAAUAUUGACACUGAUGCACGAAAGCGUGGGGAGCAAACAGG
rnacentral:rRNA from 1 species